GAUGAAGGCAGUAUGAAAUGGUGCCUGAGAGAAAUCUAAAAUGGCAGAUAAUGAUGCAGGUGAGAAGCUCCAUAGGUAAGCGAGUGACCACUGCCAGAAAAUACAGGGUGAACUGGGUCCACAGAGGGGACAGGAAAAACUUUGCAGUAACCUAACACUUUUUGGGUGUUUGGACUUUUUUUUCUAAAGCAACAAAGUAUAUUCCAGCAAAACCCUCCAAGGAUAACAGAACAUCUCAGAUCUCCACUUACACACACCUGUGUGGCCCUGCACAUGUCUAACCUGAGGAAGAUAUGCAGGUCCGUCUGCUAGAGCCUCUGCUGGAACGCUCUGCACAGAUGGUCUAUUGCUUAGAGCACUAUCAGACUAAACCCAAGAAAGAUCAAUGGAGGAGCCUCUUCCAGGGCCUGGGAGCAGUGGCUUAAUGUUCCAAAGCAUUACCAUGACAACAGCCAAGCCUUGCAGCAAAUGGUCUGCAUUUCAUCCACUGUUUUAACUUUUUCUUCCUUUCCCACUGCUGGUGGAAAAUUCCAUACUUUUGUUAGGCUAAACAGUUCAUAUGGAAUCAGUUAAUGGAAAACUCCAGGCUAAAACGCUUACAUUGUUAGUAAGCGUGUAGCCAUGAUGUGAAAUUCAUUCCAGGGUUUAUCAUCAUAUUUUUAAUUUGCUGUCCUGUCAGGCUUCCUCUGGAUGGCUUCAGUACAUUAUUUUCCAAGAAAAAUCAGGACUCCUUUUGCCACCCCCCUUUGUGAUAAGGGGUGCGGAGUACACAGCCAGCUAAACUGACAUUAACAUUAGCUAGUAGUACUUAGCGAAAAGACUAAAAGCAAAGUCAGAGAUUGUGGCCACGCCCCCAGUCACCCAGGAACCCAUGCUGUUGCAUUCUGGACUUUUGAGGCUGCUAGCAGGACAGAAAUCAGGAUGUCCUCUUGAUAAGUGGUUGAUUUCUCUCAAUAGGAGCAUUGCAGAACGUUCAUUAUUGGGGAAACCCCUGACUUGACCCAAAUGGGCUGAAAUGAAUAUCUGAUACGUCCAGUUGAUGCUAUAACAAGUCACUCUCCCUUUAAACUCCAUUAUGUGUGCUGUGACAAUAUCACCGCGUGAAAUUGCAUUGUAAACAGAACUCGAGUUUAAGUGCAAAAAAAAAAAAAUAAUUAAUUUAAAUGUAAUCAUUACUGUAGGUUUGCUCUGUGUGUAAAUGUGUUGUGCUACGUUUAAAUGUAAUCAUUACUGUAGGUUUGUUCUGUGUGUGUAAAUGUGUUGUGCUAUGUUUAAAUGUAAUCAUUGCUGUAGGUUUGUUCUGUGUGUGUAAAUGUGUUGUGCUAUGUUUAAAUGUAAUCAUUGCUGUAAGUUUGUUCUGUGUAGUGUGCAUGAUGAAUCGUGGCCGUUUAGGAAGGUGUUGCUCGUUGGGGCCUGCUCUCCGUUUCCUGAUGUGGCCUGGUUUCUCCUCUCUGCGCACACACUGCAUGAUCCUAUCACUCACUGUUCACGGAGGCAGCCGGUUGCUAGGCAACUGAGUUCAGUCACUGACAGCAGCCAGGGGACCCAGGGAACCACUCACAUUUGGUGAUGUGGGGGGCAGGGAAGUUUGGGAGGGGAGUGAGAAGCAGCUGAAUCUACCCCAGCAGGCACCCGUUGCCCCUCUUUUUCAAACUCGGGGGUAACAAAAAUGUACUUGACUCGCCGUGGUCAGCUAUCUGACCCAGAAGGUUUUAAUUAGCAGGUGCAUAAAUUAGCAUAUAUUAGCAGAUUGCAUGUGGGGAGAGCGUCUGUCUCCUCGCACUCUGCGGCGGCCACAAGGCUCGCGCGAUGCUACUGAGAGACAGCUGAACGUGUGAAUGCAUUCACACGCAGUCUUCACACAGGAAACCUGGCCACAAACUACAACCGUCUCAGAAGUCUGUGAUGCUAUUUACACAGACAAACGCUAGCAUGGAAAUGAGAGGGUGGUCUCUUUUUUUGUGAAGCAUUUACAGGCACACAUAAAUUCAGGCUGUGUAUCUGGUUCAGAUGGCGUUUAAAUGUACAGGCUAUCAUGCUAUCUGGUGUCGCCUGUAUAAGAUGCACUUGCGGUAAAGGCUCCAUUUAGCAUGGCCAUUAUAUUGAUUUUUUGAAUCUUAAAGUUAUCAUGUUUCUGUCUGUUUGAGCCAUCUGUCUGUUCUUCCACUAAUGAUAGCACUGUUCGAUAAUAAAUAAAAUUGACACUAUCUAAAUGAAAAAAAUA